AACCACCCAAACCAGUACACCAGAGUCUGAUUUAACCAAACCAAAUGCUUGUGUGAAAACACUCUCAGUGUGUGUGUGUGUGUUUUUGUGUGUGUAGGUAAACGGUGUGCGUUUCGUCUCCAUUACCCGAGGCCAGGUCCUGAUCGUCUGGAGGGAUCACUGCAUCGGCACAAAACGUAUGAGGUGGAGUUCUCCAGAGACGGGAUCUCCUUCCAGAGGAUCAACUUUAGAGACUCCAUUUUCACAUCCUUCACCUUCAGCCCAGAGAGUGGGGAGGUGUGUGGGUUCUACAGAGUCAGAGUGGUGGAUUACUGGGAUCGAGCUGGAGAAUAUUCCCCUACUGAGAAAUACACUCAGCUCUGCUGAUACUCAACACACACACACACACACUGAAUGUACGAUUCUGCACUAAACCCUGAGAAUCCGAUUUAAUUACACUGAGACUGAUAUACAUCUACUGAUGGAGCUCCGAGUGUUUCAGCAUACAGUGACAAUUCAGCUAAGAUCUGAGGACCUCAGGUUCGAAUCCAAGUCAUGCUGCUUCUCCAUCAGCAGUCCGAGUGCAGUAGAAUAUGCUGGGGUAAAACUCAAAUCAAUAAAUAUGAUCACUAAUAAUCA
rnacentral:lncRNA from 1 species